UCACAGAAGAAGGGGCUGUGGGGUGAGCAGGAAGGUUGCUCCUGGGCAGUGCUGGCCAGACCUGGGGUGGCCCCCGGCCCCGCUGGGCACCCAGGGCCCCUUCAAAGGUGCUAGGGUGGGGGUCGCGGAACCCGGGGGGCAGGACAGCAGCCUCUACUCUGCUGAAGUCUCAGCCAAGGUCCCUCUAAGGGGUCAAGAAAGGCAGCGCCUGCCAGCCAAGCGGACAUUUUCCUGCCUGCCCGGCAGCCACAUGCGCCUCGGCCGCGACAAAGGCCACACUUGAAGGAGGAGCUCAGGAGGUGGCCCCUGUCGCGCUGGGGGCCUCUGCACGGUCCUUCGGGAAGGACAGACCCUGGAGGGGGCACCGACUGCGCGCAGUCGUCCCGCGCCCUCUCGGUCCCCCAAGCGGCCCCCACGGGAGAACUCGAGGCGGGAGGCACACGGGCCGGGGACUCGCCCAGAUCCCCUUCCUAUCCUCUGCGCUGGCUAGGGACCCGCAGGAAGCUCCCCGACCUCGCACAAAGGCCGGGAUUCGCCUGUUUUGAAACCCAGAGGCCUGCCACUCGCAGCUGCCCAGAGGGCAAAUCCUGGCGUCCGAGAUGGAAGAUGUGACCUAAGCAUCCUUCCUCCGAGGAAAUGGGUGCGGCACCUUCGUGAACACGGGCAGGAAGGAGCCUGCCUCAGACGGGUGAGAUCGAGCCUGCCUUGCCCGAGACAAAAGGAGAUGACCCCGCGGCAGCAGGCGGCUUCUCCUAGCAUCACCCCGAGAAAUCACAAAGCGGGGGACAGAGCCUGACUCCCGGCGCCUGCAGCUGCCCCCGCCCCCGGAGCCUGCACGGGCACCUUCCCCUGGCAGGACCCCCUCCCUCUCUGUAGCAUGGGGAGCGCCCCAUCCCGUCAGAAUCGCUGGUGAGGACUGAACACAAGUAAUUAUCCAGGAGCUUUGCCCAGUGCUUGGGGCAGAAUGGGGCCCCCUAUUCGUGUCCUCACUGUUCUUGGCCUUCUUGCCUGGACGGGGAACCAACCUAGAGGAUGAGCCGGGGCUGGGAUGCGGGCAGCCACCCUCCAGCCGUCAGCACUGAUGUUCGUCUGCUGCCCCCUGGUGGGCGCGGAGGGCACUGUCGCCACCUGGCUGCCCCUUGGCGGGACGCUCGCUGCCCAGCGGCGGGAAGAUCAGGUUUGGCCUGGAGAAUAGCCAAGUCAGGAGACGCAGGCCUCACUGCUGUGUGUUAGCCAAUCACAACACCUUCCUGAUCCCCAGUGUCCUACUGGGGACACUGACCCACCUGUGUACCUCACAGGGUUUGGGGGAGGCUCCGCUGGGUGGCUGAGUGUGCGUGAAUGAAUGACUGCACGAACGGAACCUGAUAGGAACUCUCCUCCAAACACUGGGCGUGGGUGUCGUGAGCAGGUGUGGACUGUAUCAACUCAGAGUACACGUCAGGAAGAGGGGACGCCGCUGCAGGACAUCCUACCACCGGCCACCUCUUCUCAGACUCAGAGCGGUUUCCCGGGACCGCCCGUAGCACACCUCCAGGGGGCGCAAUUCCCAUCACAUUCUAGAGAGAUGGCACCCUGGAGAGGAGCCCACAGGCUACAAGUGAACGGUACCCUCUGGGGGUUGCCUCUCAGCUUGGCCCACCUUUAGCACCAUGAGGGAUGGCAGUUUUCCUUAGUGAGAAAGGCCCACACGAAGCACCGGGACAGUCCACAGGAGAGGCGGGAAGCUGGGUGUCCCAGUUCAGUGGCAUAGAUGAAACCCAUGGGGCAGGAAGUCACAUACCCCGAAGUAAGGGAGGAGGGUCACAGGCCCCCACUUACUGGGCCCCUCAGCCUCCCCCUGCGCCACCCUUGCCCCCCUUCAGUCUGUCCUCGGCAGCCAGCAAGGACCCAGUGAAACCUUGGUGAGGCCCUGCCACUCUCCUGCCCGGACGGGGGGGCCCUUCGUGGCAUCCCCCUCACCAGAGAGAAAAUCAAAUCUCAUCACUUGCAGGUCCCAUGUGGUGCAUUCCCUCCCCGGAUGACCUCAUUCCCACAGCUCCCCAGCCACGCCCAGCGGUGCCCCCACCUCAGGGCCUUUGCACCUGCCACCCCUCUGCCUGGGAUUCUUGCCCAGAUGGCCACAUGGCUCACACCCUCACUUCCUCUGCUGACCCUCUCGCACUCUGAGACUCAUUCUUCUCUGCAGUUUCCGCCACGGUGUCUGUUGCUCCGUCUCAUCCCUCUAGACUGUCAUCUCUGUGGCAGCGGGGGCCGUCUCUGUCCUGUCCCCAGUUCACUCCCAGCACUGCAAACUGGGCUCAGCCCCUGGUAGGUAGUCGAAAAAGAGUUGUUAAAUGAAACACCAAAUAAGGACCUCCCUGGCAGUCCAGUGGUUAGGACUCCGAGCUCUCACUGUGGGGGGCACGGGUUCAAACCCUGGUCCAGGAACUUAGAUCCCACGAACUGUGUGGCACGGCCAAAAGAAAAAAAACUGAAAUGCCAAAUAAAGAAACCAACAGGUCAGCAAAGCACUGCAGCUACGACUUUAAAAUCCAGUAUCUUCUUCCGUAGAAGUCACAGAAAUGGGUAAAACUGAUACAAAGGUUUAAAAAAUGGGCUAUGUAAUCUGUUGAUGUGUAGCAUAUCUCACCAUUGUUAUGUGAAUCUGUAACAUUACACCCUGUGAGAUUUGCACUGACUUAGCAUAUUAUUCUAAGUAUUCAUGACUGUAAUAGCCACUCCCGUUUCUUGAGUGCUGCGGGGCUGGCCUGAGGGCUUCGUAUGUGUCACGUGGCCUCCGUUAAGCCUCACAGUGAGGGUAAUAGUCAUUGUUUUGGGUGGUUAAACACAGAAACCGAGCACGCUGGGAGCUGCCCAGCAUCACCGAGCAAGGUGCAGAGGAGCCGGGUCCAAACGCCGGGCCUCCCCGGCAGCUGCUCAUGCACCCAAAUCUCGCUGUUGCAAAGGGUUUCCAUGCCUGGAACCGAAAGCUGUCGGUCGACACGCUGGUUUGGGGGGACAGGAGACCAAGGAGACGGGAAAAUGCUGUGCUGUCUAAAACACGGAGAUCCUGACUCAGCACGUAGAUCCUGAAUGCAACAGCCUUAAAAGGCCAGCACGCGCAUGCCCACUGCAGAAAUGGGUGCAAAAGCACAGUCAGGAGCGGCAGAGCUGGCCGGGAAGGGGCUGCUGGGGACACAGCCUGCGUCCGAGCUGAAGGGGGACAGGGUGUGGAAGUGCUGCCACCGGCCUCGAGCUCCUGGAAGCCCGGUGGCUGCAGGGUCCGGGCGGGCCCCAAAGGAGCCGCCCCACUUCUGCCUCACAGGGGAUGACCAUCCAGCUCCAGGCCAUGCGCGUCGUUAUUCUGUUGUUAGGGGACGGGUCACGGAGCUUGAGGACCGGCCCAAGGUUAGGCAUUGGGCAGAGGCAGGGUUGGAGCCCUGGUCUGAAUCCUAAGUCUGUCUCCUGCGAUGCCUCCCGCCGGGGACUUUGCUUCUGCUUCUGGCUGAUGGUACAGUGGUUCCAGGGCAGCAGCACGUGGGGGCGGGAGGCGGGGGGGAAUCUGAGUCCACAGCUGCCCCACAAGGCCUCCUGGGCUCCCACAGAGUCCCCUCAUCAGUAGGAGUCCUCGUUGCUGGGGCAACACUGGGAAUUUGCUCUGAACGAGAACACAUGUGCUUCUUCAUGUGUCGGGCGUGGUGCAGGCCACAGUGGACGGGCUGGAGAGCUUUCUCUGCCCAUCCAAACAUCCCAGGCCGUUCCUUUCCACACAGGCCUCCUCUGACAACCAGGGGGUUCCUCAGCCCAGGUUUCCCCCAGAAUGCCAAGGGCUGCUGCAAGGUCUCAGUGCUUCUUAACAACAGGGCCCUUAUUCCAUAGCCAGGGUCUCAGGGAUGCACUGGGAGCUUCUCCUGCAAAGGCCCUCCCCAGAAGCUGCAGUCCACCCAUCCCUCCCACAUCUCUCUAUCCAUCCCUCCUUUAUCUUUCCACCCACCCCUCCAUCCCUCCACCCAUCCAACCCACCCAUCCCUCCUACAUCCUCCACCCAGAACACAUUUACUAAGCACUGGCCUUGUUCUUGGAGCAGGGGAAGUGAAAGUUUUGACUCUUCCCAACAUGACCGGGUGAAGGAAUUAUUCUCAUGUCCAAACCACAUGAACACACACAUUUUGCAAAUUCCAUUUGUAGCUACAUCAUGCAAAUUCAGCUGUCA